rnacentral:rRNA from 1 species
UACGGAGGAGGCUAGCGUUGUUCGGAAUUACUGGGCGUAAAGCGCACGUAGGCGGCUUUGUAAGUUAGAGGUGAAAGCCCGGAGCUCAACUCCGGAACUGCCUUUAAGACUGCAUCGCUUGAACGUCGGAGAGGUAAGUGGAAUUCCGAGUGUAGAGGUGAAAUUCGUAGAUAUUCGGAAGAACACCAGUGGCGAAGGCGACUUACUGGACGACUGUUGACGCUGAGGUGCGAAAGCGUGGGGAGCAAACAGG